rnacentral:lncRNA from 1 species
UGACAGGCCACUCAGCAGCAGGCAGGGUGUGUGUGUGUGUGUGUGUGUGUGUGUGUGUGUGUGUGUGCAUAUGGUGUGGCAUUUGUGGUAGGAGGAGGGGGCUGUCUGAGCAGGCCCUGUGAAAUUGGUGUUGUGGUCUGGUAUAUCUGAUGCUUUUGUGAUCUGAGCUGCUGUGUGUGUGAUUCCCCCUGCUUAGUUGCUCUGGCCUGACUGAAUGCCAGGGGUUGCAAGGGUUUGUAUUAUAUAAAUGAAGAUGUCCCACACAGUAGGAGAUGGAGGCUAAGGAUAGUGCUAGGGGUCAGGAAAGAGAGCCGGGGAGAGAGGAGCUUGAGGAGACCAAGCAUCGGGAGGAGGUAAAAGCUGAGUCUCAGUGUAAGAAGGGGUCAGUAGGUCCAUCUGGGAGGAUUUAGAGAACAUAAAGAGUGCUUUGGUUUCUUUUCUUUUUAUUUUUUUAAGGUACGUUCUCCUGGAGGCCCAGGCCCCUUGACCCUGAAGGAGGUGGAAGAGUUGGAGCAGCUGACCCAGCAGCUGAUGCAGGACAUGGAGCACCCUCAGAGGCAGAGCGUGGCAGUAAAUGAGUCCUGUGGCAAAUGCAGUCAGCCACUGGCCCGAGCACAGCCUGCAGUCCGUGCACUGGGACAACUGUUCCAUAUCACCUGCUUCACUUGUCAUCAGUGUCAGCAGCAGCUGCAGGGACAGCAGUUCUAUAGCCUGGAGGGGGCACCAUAUUGUGAGGGCUGCUACACUGACACUCUGGAGAAGUGCAACACUUGUGGGCAGCCCAUCACUGACCGAAUGCUGAGGGCCACUGGCAAAGCCUACCACCCACAUUGCUUCACCUGUGUGGUCUGCGCCUGUCCCCUGGAGGGCACUUCCUUCAUUGUGGACCAGGCCAAUCAGCCCCACUGUGUUCCUGACUAUCACAAGUGAGGAUCUGUCGUGUCUGUUUUCUGUUCCAUCCAUGUUUUGUCUUGUAACCAGGCUCCCACCUGGCUGUAGGUCAGCCAUAGAGCACAGAUCUUGGUUGCUGACCAUAAUUGUGGCCUUAGGCUGUUUCCACGUUAGCCUCGACUCCCUUGGGCUGCUUGGGAUGUGCCUUGUGUUCAGCAGGUGGUCCUAGAGUGGCUAGAGUCACGUGUAGGCUGGGUUCUCAGAGUUCCUGUGCAGCACAGCUGCUUGGGGUGUUAGCUUUUUCUCAGAACUAAAUAGUCUGUUACCGACUUGGACUGUAUGUCUGGGGCAUUUUUUGGGGGUGACUAGGAUUCCCUCUUCUUUCUCUGGGGUCAGGCUGGAGACCUGCACAUGCAGGUAUCUUGUGUUCCGCUUCAGGGUUCCUGGUAACGUGUAGUGUGGGUGGGGUAGG